UGAUCAGCCGCUUCCUGAUGAGAUCUCAGGAGUGAGCUCGAGCAUGCGCAUUAAGAAACAAAAUGGCCGAGUUUAACUGGUAUGUGAACGUUUUAAGAUUUGACUCAGGGGCAUAAAGGCAGAAAAAGAGACUGAGGCAAGUUUUAGGGCAGGAGUGGAAGGCAAGAAUUGAUGUUGCUGCAGACCUGUACGGAUUUGCUGCUGGUUACAUCUACUACAAUACUGCAGAUACAGUAUAACAUUGGUAUUGCUGGUAUGAUUCCUCUCCCUUAGGUGGAAAGUCAUGGCAGUGAAAAGAUGAUGAACAAUGGGAUGUUUCUGUCAUGCCUGUGCACGGAUUGGAGAGAUGAGGCUAUAAGCUUUACUUGGAAAAGCAAAAAUGAAUUUGGGAAUGGACACAUACAGAAAUAUUAAAAUCUAUAUAUACUAAAAUAUAUACUCUUCAGUUUCAUAAACAUCCAUUAAAGGAAAAAGCAGAGAGUGGGAAAAAGACAAAGGAGCAGAAAGAGAAAAUGAAAGAGGAAAAGAGGAAAAAAGGAGAAAGGCAGAAAGUGGUAAAAGAAGAUAAAGAUACACUAAGAAGACAGACCUACAAGGAGGAAAUAAGGAGAAAGAGACAGAGAGCCACAAAGAGCAGGACUACAGCUCACAGCCAUUCCGGCAUAGCCUCCAUCUGUGACUUCACUCUGUGUAUGAGUUUGUGCCUGGGACACCGUCAUGCCCUUUGGAAUUGUUUAGAAUUGCUAAAGCUUCAGGAGCCAAGCAAAUGCUGCAAGUGCCUCCAUUUAAGCCCAUGUGGCUACUGAACACUUGAAAUGUGGCUGAUCUCAAUUCAAAUGUCUGUAAAGAUAAAUGCACACCAGAUUCUGAAGACUUUGGACAAAAAGAAUGUGAAAUAUUCUGGAUAUAUUUGGGUUAAAUAAAAUCCAUUUUUAAAGUUAAUUUCAUUUUCUUCUUUUUGCCUUUUUAAAUGUGGCUACAAGCAAAUUUAAAAUUACAUUAUGUGGC
rnacentral:lncRNA from 1 species